rnacentral:lncRNA from 1 species
AUAAAUUCUAGAAUUUUAAAAUUUGGGGGAAUUAUCGAAAACUAAUAAAGAUAUUUUCAUCUAUGGUGGUUAUUAUAAAAUAUAUGAAACAAUCGUUAUACUUUAAAAGUUUAAACUAAUAAAGAACGACAUUUUAAAUAUUUUUAUAUUUAACACGCGUCCUCACGUCUGGGCUCCAAACUUUUCGCUAGGCUUAGAACGUUGACUUGAAUUAAAUAGGGAAAAAUUAAUAAUGUUAGGAAUGUGACGUGACUCAAAUUUUGGAUCUCUUGCUCUGAUAUCAUAUGAAAUAUAUCUGCUAUACUCUAAAAGAUUAAGUUAAUAGAGAAUGAUGUUCUAAAUAUGUUUAUAUUUGGGGCAAUUGCUUAUAUACCCCUGAAAAGUUCCCGACUUUCCGAUUUACUCCUCUUAGAAGGCUAAUAUUGAAAAUACACCUCCUAUGUUCCAACCUAUAUCUAAUAUACCCUUAGAGUUAAAAUCUGUUAAGUAAUUCUGUUAUCUCUGUAAAAUUACUAUUUUGCCCUCUCAAAUAUACCCUUCCACCAUCACAGUCUUUCUUAUUUGCCCUUAAAGUCAGGGGCACAAAAAGUGUUUUGCAUUUUGGUCUUUUCCAAUAUACCCCUCUACCGUCACCAAUCUUUUUUAUUUGCUCUUAAGUUAAGGGUAAAUUGGCAUUUUAAUUUUUUUUAACUGUGAUAGAUAUUUAACUCACGUUUAACCUAGGUUAACUUAACAGGAGAUAACUGCGGGGGUAUUUUGCAAUAACGAUGGAACAUAUGAGGGGUAUUUUAGAAAGAAAAAAAAAAGUAAGGAUAAAUCGNCUACCGUCACCAAUCUUUUUUAUUUGCUCUUAAGUUAAGGGUAAAUUGGCAUUUUAAUUUUUUUUAACUGUGAUAGAUAUUUAACUCACGUUUAACCUAGGUUAACUUAACAGGAGAUAACUGCGGGGGUAUUUUGCAAUAACGAUGGAACAUAUGAGGGGUAUUUUAGAAAGAAAAAAAAAAGUAAGGAUAAAUCGGAUAUUUUCAAACGUACGAGGGGUAUAUAGGCAAUUAUCUCGUAUAUUUAAUAGUUAUACUAUAAAAAUGCACUAUU